GAUGAACGCUAGCUACAGGCUUAACACAUGCAAGUCGCGGGGCAGCAUGGGGGUUGCUUGCAAUCCCCGAUGGCGACCGGCGCACGGGUGAGUAACGCGUAUCCAACCUGCCCUUCACCACGGGAUAACCCGGCGAAAGUCGGACUAAUACCGUAUGUUGUCCAUUGACGGCAUCCGAUUUGGACGAAAGGCUUGGCGGUGAGGGAUGGGGAUGCGUCCGAUUAGCCAGACGGCGGGGUAACGGCCCACCGUGGCUACGAUCGGUAGGGGUUCUGAGAGGAAGGUCCCCCACACUGGAACUGAGACACGGUCCAGACUCCUACGGGAGGCAGCAGUGAGGAAUAUUGGUCAAUGGGCGUAAGCCUGAACCAGCCAAGUAGCGUGCAGGAUGACGGCCCUAGGGGUUGUAAACUGCUUUUAUGCGGGGAUAAAGUGGCCCACGUGUGGGCUUUUGCAGGUACCGCAUGAAUAAGAACCGGCUAAUUCCGUG
rnacentral:rRNA from 1 species